GAUGAACGCUGACAGAAUGCUUAACACAUGCAAGUCUACUUGAACUUCGGUUUGGGUGGCGGACGGGUGAGUAACGCGUAAAGAACUUGCCUCACAGUUAGGGACAACAUUUGGAAACGAAUGCUAAUACCUGAUAUUAUGAUUUUAGGGCAUCCUAGGAUUAUGAAAGCUAUAUGUGCUGUGAGAGAGCUUUGCGUCCCAUUAGCUAGUUGGAGAGGUAACGGCUCACCAAGGCGAUGAUGGGUAGCCGGCCUGAGAGGGUGAACGGCCACAAGGGGACAGGGACACGGCCCGUACUCCUACGGGAGGCAGCAGUGGGGAAUAUUGGACAAUGGACCAAAAGUCUGAUCCAGCAAUUCUGUGUGCACGAUGACGUUUUUCGGAAUGUAAAGUGCUUUCAGUUGGGAAGAAAAAAAUGACGGUACCAACAGAAGAAGUGACGGCUAAAUACGUG
rnacentral:rRNA from 1 species